UUGCGUUUUCCUUGGCAGCAAAUAUAUUGAGAUUGGAAUGCUACAAGAAGAUUAGCAUGGCCCUUGUGCAAAGAUGACACGCAAAUUCAUGAAGCAUUUCAUAUUUUU
ensembl:snRNA U6 U6 spliceosomal RNA